rnacentral:rRNA from 1 species
UACGUAGGGGGCUAGCGUUGUCCGGAAUCAUUGGGCGUAAAGAGCGUGUAGGCGGCCCGGUAAGUCCGCUGUGAAAGUCGGGGCUCAACCCUCGAAUGCCGGUGGAUACUGUCGGGCUAGAGUGCGGAAGAGGCGAGUGGAAUUCCUGGUGUAGCGGUGAAAUGCGCAGAUAUCAGGAGGAACACCGAUUGCGAAGGCAGCUCGCUGGGACGUAACUGACGCUGAGACGCGAAAGCGUGGGGAGCAAACAGG